rnacentral:rRNA from 1 species
AUUGAACGCUGGCGGCAGGCUUAACACAUGCAAGUCGAGCGAGCGGCGGACGGGUGAGUAAUGUCUGGGAAACUGCCUGAUGGAGGGGGAUAACUACUGGAAACGGUAGCUAAUACCGCAUACCAUCAGAUGUGCCCAGAUGGGAUUAGCUAGUAGGUGGGGUAAUGGCUCACCUAGGCGACGAUCCCUAGCUGGUCUGAGAGGAUGACAGGCCACACGGGAACGGAGACACGGGCCAGACCCUUACGGGGGGAAGCAGGGGGGAAUAUUGCAAAAGGGGCGAAAGCCGAAUGCAGCCAUGCCGCGGGUGUGAGGAGGGCCUUGGGUUUGGAAAGCACUUUCAGCGAGGAGGCGUUACUCGCAGAAGAAGCACCGGCUAACUCCGUGCCAGCAGCGGCGGUAAAC